ACAAAGACACAGAGCGCGGCCUGGGAGGCGGAGCUCUGCGGGCGGCCGGGGCCGCCUCCUUCCAGGCGCUGCUGCCCCAACACAGGCGGGCACUCUCUGCGGGUCCCGCGGCUCCCGCGGCUUCCGGCCCACUCAGCGCCUCCAGAGGCCUCAGCCUCAGUUUCCUCACCUGGACAGUGGAGCUGAACCCACCCCCCACUAUCUGACCCUGCUCUCUGGGCUGUCUUUUGGGAACCCGCCCUGCUGAGGCCUGCUCCCCACCCUCCAUGGCUGUCAGCCCCCCAGGAGAAGAAUGUCUGCCAUAUGGAGGCUGCUGGCAGCAAAGGGAGAUGAACAAGCCAAGGUUGCCCGGCCUGCAUGCCGGCCCAGGGCUGCUGCUGUGUCUUGCCAUCAACCCUCCCCUGACACCCAGGAUGCCUGCCUCACCCAGAAGCACUCCUACGUCAGGCCUCUGAGGGGGAGCGCUUCAUGCCACUGUUAUCAAAAGAAGAAACCAUCGAAGCAGAAAGGCCAAUGCCACACUAGACAGCCAGGAGCCCAGCAGAACAAGUGGCCCCCUAAGGCACU
ensembl:lncRNA novel transcript